GAUGAACGCUGGCGGCGUGCUUAACACAUGCAAGUCGAACGGAAAGGCCCAAGCUUGCUUGGGUACUCGAGUGGCGAACGGGUGAGUAACACGUGGGUGAUCUGCCCUGCACUUCGGGAUAAGCCUGGGAAACUGGGUCUAAUACCGGAUAGGACCACAUUUUGGAUGGUGUGGUGGAAAGUUUUUCGGUGUGGGAUGAGCUCGCGGCCUAUCAGCUUGUUGGUGGGGUAAUGGCCUACCAAGGCGUCGACGGGUAGCCGGCCUGAGAGGGUGUACGGCCACAUUGGGACUGAGAUACGGCCCAGACUCCUACGGGAGGCAGCAGUGGGGAAUAUUGCACAAUGGGCGCAAGCCUGAUGCAGCGACGCCGCGUGGGGGAUGACGGCCUUCGGGUUGGAAACUCCGUUCGCUAGGGACGAAGCGUUAUGUGACGGUACCUGGAGAAGAAGCACCGGCUAACUACGUG
rnacentral:rRNA from 1 species